rnacentral:rRNA from 1 species
CCCUUAGAUGUUCUGGGCCGCACACGCGCUACACUGAAGGAGGCAGCGUGUACUCCUGGAUCGAAAGAUUUGGGUAACCCGCGAAUCUCCUUCGUGCUAGGGAUUGAGGUUUGCAAUUAUCCUUCAUGAGCGAGGAAUUCCCAGUAAGUGCAAGUCAUAAGCUUGCGCUGACUACGUCCCUGCCCUUUGUACACACCGCCCGUCGCUACUACCGAUUGAAUGAUUUAGUGAGGACUUCGGACUGGGACCGAUGCGGCUUUCGGGCUGCGUCGGUAUUCUGGAAAGAUGUCCAAACUGUNUNAUUUAGNGGAAGUAAAANUCGUANCA